rnacentral:rRNA from 1 species
CGGGGUGCACCAGGCGCGAAAACUUUACAAUGCGGGAAACCGUGAUAAGGGGACACCGAGUGCCAGCAUCAUAUGCUGGCUGUCCAGGUGUGUAAAAUACACCUGUCAGCAAGGGCCGGGCAAGACCGGUGCCAGCCGCCGCGGUAACACCGGCGGCCCGAGUGGUGAUCGUGAUUAUUGGGUCUAAAGGGUCCGUAGCCGGUUUGGUCAGUCCUCCGGGAAAUCUGACGGCUCAACCGUUAGGCUUUCGGGGGAUACUGCCAGGCUUGGAACCGGGAGAGGUAAGAGGUACUACAGGGGUAGGAGUGAAAUCUUGUAAUCCCUGUGAGACCACCUGUGGCGAAGGCGUCUUACCAGAACGGGUUCGACGGUGAGGGACGAAAGCUGGGGGCACGAACCGGAUUAGAUACCCGGGUAGUCCCAGCCGUAAACGAUGCUCGCUAGGUGUCAGGCAUGGCGCGACCGUGUCUGGUGCCGCAGGGAAGCCGUGAAGCGAGCCACCUGGGAAGUACGGCCGCAAGGCUGAAACUUAAAGGAAUUGGCGGGGGAGCACAAGGGCGAAUGCG